rnacentral:lncRNA from 1 species
AGUUUCUUUCAGGCAUUUGGAUAUGCUCUGGAAGUCGAUCAUUUUAUGUGAAUAGAAAUGACAAAGCUCCCAUGCUGACAAGGUGCUUAUCAAUAGCGAUUGUGUAAAAUUUAUACAAAGACGUGAAACAUACGAAUUGAUAACACCAUUAAAAACAGAAAGUCAUCAUCUUGCCUCUAAAGCUUGCUUUUCUGUUAUUUAUCAAGAUUAUAAUAGAAAAAUAUCGAUCUCGUGAGUUGACUUAUUUUGAUUUUUUUUUUCCUAAUGAAGAUCGUAGGUAUUGAGUCCAUUGGAAAUAUAUUGAACAAAUAACAGGAACAUGGUUCCUGUGUUUCUUAGCUUUUGUUGAGAAAUGAAUUUACAGAUUUGACUAGUUGAACGCAUGGAAACAUGAUCACAACAGAUAGUAAGACAAUCUAGAAAAGGUGAAACUGUUGGAGGGCCUUGCUAAGUAUUUAUAUUAUGCCUCCUCCCUUGCUGCCUCAAUCUUUGGUUGCGUGACUUACCUGGUGAACUUGAGGGCCUCUGCUCGCUUAAGAACAGUUGCCUAUGUUGAAGUCUAUUUUAGUGGAAUUCUCUAAUAAAGUUUUCAGCAAGAUCAUGUGGAAUAUAAAAUUGCAAAGAAACCUUUGAGAAAUUAAAGAAAUGGAAUUUCUUACUUACUGACUGUAGAAAAUUUCAGAACCUUUGAGAAAAUUAAAAAAACCAUCCUUUUAUAUUGUCAAGUUCACUAUGGUGCUGGGCUCCUUUUGUUAAUCCUUCUCUUUUGUGAGUGCUGUUGCACAACAUUGCUCAUUCCAUGAGUACAUUCAAAUCUUCAAUUGCUGAUUUUUAGCAUCUGAUAUUCGUACUUUACUUACAACCCUUGGAGUUCCCUUGAACAUGUUUGAUGAGUCUAGUGUUCCUAAAACUGUUGUACUAGAGCUUUUGGAUUUCAUUUCUGUUGGCAUAGCAGAGGCCACUAAUAAAAUGUCUUUUUAGAUUUCAUAUACUCCACUAAAAACUGCUUCAUGCAAUAUAUUCAAUGAUUCUGACUAUUCUCUAUAUAUAUUCAGGAAGCAGUUAAGCUGAAGCCAACAUUUGCUGAUGCCUACCUGAACCUAGG